GAGAAACAACACCGUGUGACAGAUUUCUGUAGAUGGAUCCAUCUCCCAUGUCGAAAGACCACCUGACAUCUGUGCCAGAGGGAGAAAGGCGUGACUUGAAGCUCCUUGAGCUCCCUAAGUUAUCUCCUAGUAUCAAACCCAUUUUCCCACCUGGCUGAAUAAAGGCAUGGGUCACCCUUGCUGACACUUGAACUCGUUCUGUCUGUGGAUCUGGUUGUGGCAGCUGAGCAUCGUAAGGAGGAGCCAGGGUGGUCUCUGCCUCUGGGCUGCCAUCACCAAAAUUCCACCUGCAAACAGAAAUACAGACCACAAAUAAUGUAUUGGAUAUACUGCGGGCAACUGGCAGAGGUCACAAUGAGAGCGGCAGUGUUUCCUAAAGCGUCUGCACAGAGUGACAAUUUGGCACAGAAUUUCUACCAGUGAUGCCUGUUGACCUGCCUGUCUGUGAACAAAGGAAAUCUGAAGGGAGACUCCAGCAUGAAACUCUCUGAAUUACAUUUCAUCAGGAAUUCAGUUCUAUCAUCUGUGACUUGAAUCAAGAUAUUUAUCACACUAUAUGUGUUUGCUAACUUACCAAGGCCAGGAAGUUUCUGUUAUCACCAACACAGCUAUCCUAAUUGCCACUUUAA